GGAGGGUUGGCAGAACGGCUAAUGCGCUGGUCUUGAAAACCAGUGGGAGCAAUCCCUUGUAGGUUCGAAUCCUACACCCUCCGCCA
rnacentral:tRNA from 1 species